AGGCAAUGAUGUUUAUUUACAAAGUGAGAAAUGUACAUCAGGGGAAGGUCUGGUUCAGCAACUCCUGGAAGAGAGAGUGGAUUAGCAGGCCGAUGGAUCUUUGGAAUAUUGAUUCACUCUUAUUGUUUGUUGAGGAUGAUGACAAGUCGGAUGACAAGUUCAUCAAUUCAUCAAUCUUUUAGCAGUGAUGCAAAUCCACCUGACUUUACAUCUGUCAAAUGUUUGAGAAAGUGGCUGUUUGAUGUAUACAUGGACAAAACCAGAGCAAAUAUUAAUUCUUAGCUCUACCUCAAAGUUUUGUGUUUGGAUGCUAAGGGGUAUAGCAUGCUGUGGUUGCUUGUUCCUUUGUUCUAAAGGGAGGGGAAAGGAGGAAAUUUCUCAGUUUUCCUUCUCAGCAAAGAAAAACGUGAUUAUUUUUAUUUUAUUGAAUUUUUUUUUUUGGACCAACUUGUAAACACAGGGAUAUAAGCCAGCAUUCACACACAUUUAGAAAUGUAUGUAGUUUCUUAGAUGGAACUUUUUCAUCAGCCCAAAAGCAACUGUAAAGACUUGUAUACCGAUGUAAUACAUUUGGAAUGCGUUAUCCUUAACAAGCAUUAAAAACAUUUUUCAUCAGGUGAAACUAGUAUUUUUAACCAUUAGAAUGUUCAGCAAUUAACAAUUACUUCUACCUUUUAUGAUAACAUUAAGCCAUGUUUAUUAUUAUUAUUAUUCAUGAGUGUUUUACUUAUAGAAUCAUCAAUCGAUAGUAUGGGGAUUAUCUGUUAAGGAUUUAUUUCUAUCACUAAAACCACUUAUUUUGUUAAAGUCUUUCU